rnacentral:rRNA from 1 species
AUUGAACGCUGGCGGAAUGCUUUACACAUGCAAGUCGAACGGGCACUUCGGUGCUAGUGGCAGACGGGUGAGUAACACGUGGGAACGUACCUUUCGGUUCGGAAUAAUUCAGGGAAACUUGGACUAAUACCGGAUACGCCCUUCGGGGGAAAGAUUCAUCGCCGAUAGAUCGGCCCGCGUCUGAUUAGCUAGUUGGUGAGGUAAUGGCUCACCAAGGCGACGAUCAGUAGCUGGUCUGAGAGGAUGAUCAGCCACAUUGGGACUGAGACACGGCCCAAACUCCUACGGGAGGCAGCAGUGGGGAAUAUUGGACAAUGGGCGCAAGCCUGAUCCAGCCAUGCCGCGUGAGUGAUGAAGGCCUUAGGGUUGUAAAGCUCUUUUGUCCGGGAAGAUAAUGACUGUACCGGAAGAAUAAGCCCCGGCUAACUUCGUGCCAGCCGCCGCCGUAA